ensembl:ncRNA lncRNA:CR45728 long non-coding RNA:CR45728
UCAUAGUGAAAUUGCUUUGUAAUGCUACUGGCGCCGAUGUAUCUACACACCACCUAAUCGCAACAACAGCUCGCACACAUUCAUGCAUGGACACUCGUAGUCGGAUGAACACAAUAUUUGUUUAAUUAGCUCGUAUUAAUGCCGUUGCAAGUGCAAAUAGAGGUGGCAGAUCAUUAUGGGAGACGCCAAAGAGCCAAUCAGCCAUUGUUAUUGGCCAUUGUAGUCGGGUUGGCCACUAAACACACCGGAACUCACCGCCCACACCGCCCAUAGCGCCCCCUCUUAUUUCGACUCCUGUGCAUUUCCACCGAUGACCCACUAUUCGAUUUUCAUUUUCAUCGGCUAUUGAUUCAGAAAUCAUUUGCCUCCGCCCGCAACAAAUCCGCUUGUGAAUUCAAUUGUGGCGCU